rnacentral:lncRNA from 1 species
CUGGCACCCCCUCUCCUGUCCUCAAGGUGUCAGACUUCCCUUGCAAGAGCUGGAGGAUGCGGCUUGCCACUAGUGUCAACAAUCAAAACAGUCGCAAUGAAUAAAUGAUGAGCCACAGCGUUCCAACCACCCUCAUCCAGCUUGGUCUUUCCAAAAGGCAUAGGAAAUCAGCAAGUUUCCACCAAAUAUACCAAAACCCUAAGACGCGAGCCAGCCCAAGGGUGCAAGGUUCUGCGGCUGCAGGUGCCUAUGAAACUGCAAUAAAUACAUAACAGAAGAGAACACCAAGGAGAGCACUAUAUAUGUCAACCAUCUGAGCAGGCUGUAUUCCCACGGAAAGAAGAAUUUGUAUUGAUCACUGAGCCUCCUUUUCAACAGUUUCAUGUGAUUAUUGAUUGCUGGUCUCAGGUCUCCUACAAAAUGAUUAGCAAUUACAGGAAAAUUAUUUGAAAUCUGUUUAAACAAUCUGGUGAAUUGCAUAUACUACAGUCAUUAGCAAUCCAAAGAGUUUAUUUUUAACAAUUUAAACAUAUGAGUUUGGCAGCAUUCUACGAACCUGCACUCCACAUAAAAUGCAAUUCAUUGAAGUCAAAGAAAUUUACAAUAAAAUGUUAUAUGCUAUCUAGAAUUUAUUUUAGUACCUUAUUAAACAGAACAAGAAAGCACUCAUGUUUCCAAAUUAGCAAGAGACAAGUGACCCAAGAAAUGAUAGCAGUAAAACAAUUCUCUGUAAUGUCUAUUUAUAGCUAAAGUAUAUUGUAGAAUUGGGAUCACAAUUGUUUUAGGAAUACAAUUUUCACUUUACUCCUAAAGGUUAUUGUUCUGUUUAGGAGCUGACAUGUAACAUGUAUGAAACACUGUUUCAAAGCUGUUAUACCUCAGACAUAGAGACAAAGUCACAGAGACAAGUAUUUGGAGAAUUUAUUCAUGCACAUGUGUCACCAUCAGCAUUUUUAUGUGCCAGUAAUGCAUCUGUGUAUGAUGCCAUCAUGAAGUAUAUGAUAUUGGCCUUUCUGAUGCUAAGAUAAAUUAAGAAAUAGGUUAUCAUUGUCUUUGAUGCCCAUGUGACCUGUCUUCCACCUUUGUGACCAGGCCUUUACCUCCUACUGCACAAGGGCUCACCCAAACUCACUGAAGGGGCUCCACCUCAGCUUAACUUUUGGAUUUGGCUCCUGCUCCAGGUUUUAGAAUCCUCUGUUCUGUCAUCAAUGUAAUGAGGCUUCAAUCUAACCUACAUGGCCAUGCUAUACACACAGCUUUUACCUGCCUAUUUUUUAAAAAAAUUAACAUUUUCUAAGUUAUCAAAAUGUUAUUCAAAAAUGUUAAUUUUAAUGAAUCACUACUUAUUUCUAUGAAAUACUUAAGUAUUUUUCAGGUCUUGAAAGUGUAAUUGUUUUUAUACUAUUAUUCCCUACUGGUAUACUUUUGUUGAAAGCCGUUACACAAGCAUUUUUGUCUGUAUCUCUAAUUAUGUCCUCAGAAUAGAUUCCUAGUAAUACAGCCCUGUGUCAUGAUGCAGAAAUAUUUUAAAGUACAUGCUGUAUGUUAUAAGGGAGCUUGUUGCAUUGAACCCUCAUCAAUACGGGGCAUCCUUAAGGUCCUUUUUCUUCUUUUCUUUUUUUAUUUUGACUGAUUUCCUACUUGAAAGAAAAUGGUAUCUCAAUGAGUUGUGUUAACUAGAAACGGUGACUUUUAUAUUUUGUGUACUUUGCUACUUGUUUCUUUUUGUGAGUUUACAUACUUUUUCAAUACUUACGGGGUUUUGUUGCUAUUCCCCCAUUUGGUUUAUAAUAACUCUUAAUAUUUGAACAUUAGUACAUUCCCAUAUUUAUGGAAGAUAUUUCUCAGUUUUUAAUUCUUUGUUAAAUUUGGAGGUAAUGUUAUUUAUUUUAAAGAUGUUUCAUUCUUACAAACAUUAAACUAUCAAAUUUUCCCUGAUAAUUUAUUUUAGUGCUUUAAUGCUCCUAAUAUCUUUUUCCUCUCAUAUUCACUUAUUUUUUCAAGCUUUUAAAAAAUGAUUUCAUGUUUAAGGCAAUUGCUUAGUCAUUAACUUCAUAGACCCUGGAAUCAUGUUAUCUAAAUUUAAAAUCCCAGUCUCAACAUUCAUUCAACGAAUAUUUACAGAGUCUAUGUUUAAAUAUUUUAUGGAGUGCAAAGCAUUGUACUAGGUGCUUCCCAUACAUCUGUGAGCAAAACAGAUAAGAUACUGCCGUUGCUGAACUGAUAUUUUGAAGAGGACAGACAAAAAUAAUAAAUAUAUUAAAUAAGUUAAUUACAUACUAUAUUAGAAGGCAAUUAAAAGAACAGGGUAUGGGGGCUGGGCACGGUGGCUCAAGCCUGUAAUCCAGCACUUUGGGAGGCCUAGGUGGGUGGAUCACGAGGUCAGGAAUCGAGAACAUCCUGGCUAACACCGUGAAACCCUGUCUCUACUAAAAAUACAGAAAAAUUAGCCGGGCGUGGUGGCGGGCGCCUGUAAUCCCAGCUACUCUGGAGGCUGAGGCAGGAGAAUGGCAUGAACCCGGGAGGUGAAGCUUGCACUGAGCCGAGAUUGCGCCGCUGUACUCCAGCCUGGGCGACAUAGCGAGACUUUGUCCCAAAAAAAAAAAAAAAAAAAAAAAAAAGAACAGGAUAUGGGGACUAAAAAUGCUGAUGGUGACAGAUAUUGGUGGUGGGUUGCAAUUUUAACCAGUUGUCAGGGGAGUCUUCUUUAAUCUGGAGACAUUUAAGUAACAAUCUGUAGGUUAGAGAACUGGCUGUAGGGAUUCCCUGGUGAACAGUGUUCCAGGUUGAGGAGUAGGCUGAGCUGAUUUAUGUUGUAAAGUAUUUUUCUUGCCGCUAUAGUGAGGAUAGACUUGGGGAAGCAAAGGUGGAAGCAGGGAGAACAGUUAAGAACCUACUGAAACAAACCAGGAAAUACGGUGUUGACCAAUUUGUGCAAAGUAGAGGUGGAUUGAAGAUCUAGUCUGAAGAUAGAUUGAACCGAAUUUUCCAAAAUGUUUGUAUGCAGGCUAUAAGAAGAGUUAAGCAUAGCUAUGAGAUUUUUGGCUUGAGCACGCAGAUGAUUCUGAGUAAAGGAUAUUGUAAGAUGGAGAAGAUAGGAGUUAGGACUGGUUUUAGGGAGAAGAUUAGGAAUUCACGUGCGGACAUAUUAAGUCUGAGAUGGCUAUAAGAACACUUAAAAGCUGUGUGACCUUGGAUAAUAUCACUGAACUUCCACAUGACUUGGUUUUCUCAUCUGUAAAAGAGUGAAGUAAUUGUUCCUACCUCAUAGGCUUGUUAUGAGGACCAAAGCAUUUUUGUAGGUAAAGCAUUUACAAAAGUGAUUAAAACAAAAUACGCAAUGUGUAAGUUUUGCCUCAUUAUUAUUAUUAGAUAUAAUUCCAACAUAUUUGGAACUAACUUAAGCAUGCAUUAUUUAGUGAUGAUCUAACUGUUUCUCUUUUACAAAAUAGGAAACCAGUACGGUUUAUU